GGAAAGUUAUAAGUAAAUAAAUGGAGUAUUUAUUGCAGCUGCAAUUAAAUAAAAAUUUUUAAAAUUUCAAAUAUCGUAAUUCAAACACCAAGAUAAUUGAUUAACUGAGUGAGUGCGUUAACUAAAAGAAAGAAAGAAAAAGUGUGGAAAAAGCGACGUCAUCAGUUAGCAGUAUUUAUACAUUUUUGUUUUAAAAAAUUAAACGUGUGUAUGUGUAGUAUGUGUGUACCGAUUGCGGAAGAAAGUUUUCAUAAACUUAGAUCCGUGACCUCUCUCCAGAGCAAUUACAUUUCUCCCAAGAUACAAUCCUUCCCCCUCAUAUUCUUUGUAAUAAAAAUCAUAGCAAAAAAAGUGUCAAAUUGAUAUUAUAAUAAUAAUAAUAAUAAUAAUAAUAAUAAUAAAAACAAAACCAACCCAUUGAAAUAACAAAACAGCUGUAAAAAUUAAUAUUUCCUUAUUGCAAUUGUGCGUGCGAAGAAUAAAAGAAAAAAACAAAAUUUCAA